AUUUGAAAUUCAAAUUUCAAAUCUUCCUUCCCUUAUUUAAAAUGUGAAGACACCUCAGCAUUCAGUUCUAGCUAUUCAGGAAGCCAAAUCUCAAGAAGAUGCAUUUGCCUCUCAAGCAUUCAAAAUUCAAAAUUCGAAAUUCAAAAGGAGGCUCCACCUCACAAGGAAACUUAGGGCAACACUCUUCUCCUCUUACUUUGGGAUCAAGCAAGCCGCACGCCUAUAUAAGAGCAUCAACAAGCGCCGGCCAG
rnacentral:lncRNA from 1 species